rnacentral:rRNA from 1 species
CAGUCGUGCAGUCAUCAACUCAGCGGUAGCGUAGGUAAUUUAUUACUUUCGUUUUCCGUGUACUUUGUUGUCUGCUGGUUAGCAUCAAUUUUGAUUGUCAUAAAAAGGUUAAGGGGAUGUGGCUCCUUCGGGAGUGUUAUAACCCUUAGCGGAAUGUGGCGAUUGGGAUUGAGGAUUGCAACGAAUACCUUUAGGGCAGUUCCGUCUGGUCUCUUGUUGAUUUUCAGAUAGCAAAAGCUUGCUUUUGUUGUUUGAAUAGUUAGCAAAUAGAUUGGAAAGUGAAUUAA